UGGGGAAUAUUGGACAAUGGGCGAAAGCCUGAUCCAGCCAUGCCGCGUGUGUGAAGAAGGUCUUCGGAUUGUAAAGCACUUUAAGUUGGGAGGAAGGGCAGUAAGCGAAUACCUUGCUGCUUUGACGUUACCGACAGAAUAAGCACCGGCUAACUCUGUGCCAGCAGCCGCGGUAAUACAGAGGGUGCAAGCGUUAAUCGGAAUUACUGGGCGUAAAGCGCGCGUAGGUGGUUCGUUAAGUUGAAUGUGAAAGCCCCGGGCUCAACCUGGGAACUGCAUCCCAAACUGGCGAGCUAGAGUAGGGCAGAGGGUGGUGGAAUUUCCUGUGUAGCGGUGAAAUGCGUAGAUAUAGGAAGGAACACCAGUGGCGAAGGCGACCACCUGGGCUCAUACUGACACUGAGGUGCGAAAGCGUGGGGAGCAAACAGG
rnacentral:rRNA from 1 species